GACGAACGCUGGCGGCGUGCCUAAUACAUGCAAGUCGAACGCAGUGGGGACGGGUGAGUAACACGUGGGUAACCUCCCAUCAGAGGGGAUAACACUUGGAAACAGGUGCUAAACCGAUACUGAUGGAUGGACCCGCGGUGCAUUAGCUAGUUGGUGAGGUAACGGCUCACCGAGGCCACGAUGCAUAGCUGGCCUGAGAGGGUGAUCGGCCACACUGGGACUGAGACACGGCCCAGACUCCUACGGGAGGCAGCAGUAGGGAAUAUUCGGCAAUGGGCGAAAGUCUGACGGAGCAACGCCGCGUGAGUGAAGAAGGUUUUCGGGUCGUAAAGCACUUUUGUUCGAGAGGCGGUAUCUAACCAGAAAGCAACGGCUAACUCCGUGCCAGCAGCCGCGGUAAUUC
rnacentral:rRNA from 1 species